rnacentral:rRNA from 1 species
UGCAAGUCGAGCGGCAGCGCGGUGGGAGCAAUCCCACUGGCGGCGAGCGGCGGACGGGUGAGGAACACAUCGGAAUCUACCUUUUUGUGGGGGAUAACGUAGGGAAACUUACGCUAAUACCGCAUACGACCUUGGACCGACAGGUGCUGGGUGAAAGCGGGGGCCCAGCAAUGGCCUCGCGCAGAGUGAUGAGCCGAUGUCCGAUUAGCUAGUUGGCGGGGUAAUGGCCCACCAAGGCGACGAUCGGUAGCUGGUCUGAGAGGACGACCAGCCACACUGGAACUGAGACACGGUCCAGACUCCUACGGGAGGCAGCAGUGGGGAAUAUUGGACAAUGGGGGCAACCCUGAUCCAGCCAUGCCGCGUGGGUGAAGAAGGCCUUCGGGUUGUAAAGCCCUUUUGUACGGGAAGAAAAGCUGCGGGUGAAUAUCCUGUAGUCAUGACGGUACCGUAAGAAUAAGCACCGGCUAACUUCGUGCCAGCAGCCGCGGUAAUACGAAGGGUGCAAGCGUUACUCGGAAUUACUGGGCGUAAAGCGUGCGUAGGCGGUUGGUUAAGUCUGAUGUGAAAUCCCCGGGCUCAACCUGGGAAUGGCAUUGGAAACUGGUCAGCUAGAGUACGGUAGAGGGUGGUGGAAUUCCCGGUGUAGCAGUGAAAUGCGCAGAGAUCGGGAGGAACAUCUGUGGCGAAGGCGGCCACCUGGACCAGUACUGACGCUGAGGCACGAAAGCGUGGGGAGCAAACAGGAUUAGAUACCCUGGUAGUCCACG